rnacentral:rRNA from 1 species
UAGGGAAUCUUCCGCAAUGGGCGAAAGCCUGACGGAGCAACGCCGCGUGAGUGAUGAAGGUCUUCGGAUCGUAAAACUCUGUUAUUAGGGAAGAACAAAUGUGUAAGUAACUAUGCACGUCUUGACGGUACCUAAUCAGAAAGCCACGGCUAACUACGUGCCAGCAGCCGCGGUAAUACGUAGGUGGCAAGCGUUAUCCGGAAUUAUUGGGCGUAAAGCGCGCUUAGGCGGUUUUUUAAGUCUGGUGUGAAAGCCCACGGCUCAACCGUGGAGGGUUAUUGGAAACUGGGAAACGUGAGUGCAGAAGAGGAAAGUGGGAAUCCAUGUGUAGCGGUGAAAUGCGCAGAGAUAUGGAGGAACACCAGUGGCGAAGGCGACUUUCUGGUCUGUAACUGACGCUGAUGUGCGAAAGCGUGGGGAUCAAACAGG